CAACUCUCGGGGGGAAAUACAUGUUACUUUGGUAUGGUUAAGCUACGGAAUGAAUUAGUAGAUCAUGUGCGAAUAGGCUGAUACUUAAAGCACCAUUAAUCUUGUUUAAGACCAAGGAACAAAGGGGUAGAUCUAUCGGGUACAGGGCGAGCCCCACUCAUGGGUCCUUGUGUGGCCACAUGGAGU